rnacentral:ncRNA from 1 species
UGAAGAAUAAAGUUUUAUUAUUAUUUUGAGGGGUUAAAUUAAAUUUAAUAUUUACAUGUAAAUAUUAGUAUGAAUAAAGGUUGAUAUUUAAAUAAUGCAAUAAUUAGGGGUUAUUCGCAGUAGAAAAUUUUAAAUAUUAACGAAAGUUAGAUUUGGGGAAGAUUUUUAGUAUUAACAAAAUUUGUGCCAGCAGUUGCGGUUAUACAAAUAAUACAAUUUAAUUAGUUUUAGUAUUAAUAUGUAAGAAAUUAAUAAAUUUUAAGGGGAAAUUUAUUAGGUGAAAUUUUAAAUUUUUAGGGGAUUUAUUUGUUAUUAUUAUUUAAGAAAUUUAAAAAUAAACUAGGAUUAGAUACCCUAUUAUUUUAAAUGUAAAUUUAUACUAGAUUAGUAUUAGUUAUGUUCUUGAAAAUUAAAGAUUUUGGCGGUUUUUUAGUCUAUUCAGAGGAACCUGUCCUAUAAUUGAUAGUCCACGAUUUUUGUGACUUUUUUUAAGAGUUUGUAUAUCGUCGUAGUUAGAAUAUUCUAAAAGGAUUUAAAUUUUCAAGAUUUAUUUUUUAAAGGAAAUCAGAUCAAGGUAUAGCUUAUAAAAAAGGAGAGAUGGGUUACAUUAAUUUUAAUUUUUGAUUAUUUAUUGAAAAUAUUUAUGAAUUUGGAUUUGAAUGUAAUUUUAUUUAGAUUAAUAAAAUGAUUUAAGCUCUAAAAUAUGUACAUAUCGCCCGUCGCUUUCAUUUUAAGGUGAAAUAAGUCGUAACAAAGUAGGUUUACUGGAAAGUGGGUCUAGAAAG